GCCGUCGCCCGCCCGACCUAACCCGCGUCCCCCCGCCUCCCCAACCUCCCUCCUCCUCCCUCCCUGCUCGUCCACGCGCGCGCUCGCCUCCGGCCAUCUCCGCCGCCAGCCCUCCUCUCCAUCUCCCUCUCCUAUCCAUCUCCCUCCUCAACGCGCCCAGCGCUCGCGCGCUUGUGUCCCGCACCAACCGCAGCCGCCCCGUCGGGGCUCCCAGCCGCCAUGGCCUAGCGCACCCUCGCCAUCGACCUCCCCGACGCUCGAGGUGCAGCAGCGGGGAGCCAGUUCUCGACCUCCAUGGAGGAGAAGGGCCUAGCGGGCUCUUGCAGACAAGAGAGGCUGGGGGUGCUCGUCGAUUGGGCAGAUGGAGGGCAUCCGAGUUUCUUCAAUCGAUCUGGCCAGGGCCACGGCAGCGUACGCGAAGGCUGGAGGUGAACGACCCUCUGGAGCUGCAGAUGUCGACAGUUUCUGGUUACUUGUGAUGAGUAGAAGAAGAAUUUUGAUGAAGGAUUUGAUAAAGAAGAACAGGUGAAUUCUCUCUCUUGAAUAUAGUCAGGUUUGUUCCUGCAUUUUGAUGUUUGAUUUUUUUUUGCGUAAUAGAGAACAUGUACUCCUAUUACCUACUGACGAAAGCUACAUUUGUAAAUGAAGGCCUCAGAAGUGUUUGUUUUUACCUUAUGGUCUGAUAGAUCAGUACAUGGUGUUAGUCAUAUGAACAGAAGAUGUUGGUCAUGCCUCUGUAGGAGCUAGCUGUAAUGAUAUUUUUCAUCGAAUAUGAGGAUUCGUGUUCAUCUUUGAUAUGGUUGUUAUCACCACAAUAAAGUAUAUGGAAAUCCAGGCUUGCAGAUUAAUAUAACUUCAGAUGCUUGGUUUUGGGAAGGUGAUAGAAACCUGUGGCUGUGCUUAAGAUUUUGUUCUUUAUUUAACUUUGAGACAUUCAGGUCUAACACAGUAAAUUGUACACAGAGAAUUUAUGGUCGCAUUUUGAAAACUCUUAUAUAUUUCGAAAGAUAUGUUUCCCUAAAUUUUGGUGUUUCUUGGUGAACCCUGGGGCAGGCGGCAUUCAGGUCUCCUACUAAAGCUCCUCGCCGGCGUGGCCACUUUUCCCUCCAACUGCAGGCCGAGACAAAAUAUUGGCAAGCAUUACCAUUAUGAUCCUCCAUCGAUCAUCAUGGUUGAAGGAAAAUGUAUCAGGCAUGGUAUUUUCAAUCUAAGUAUACCAGCAGCCGAUGCUGGACCUCGUGAUGCAUAUAGUUUGCAUAUUUCUAUUCAUCCAAUUCCUGCAUCCAUUUUUCCUUAUUUUUCUGUUCGCUCAUUUAUUCUAGCAUAUUCCUAUCAGUAUUUUUCAGCUGAAGGAUAUAUGCUCUGAUUACCAAACGAAUGUGCAGGCAACGCCCAUUUGAUUUCCGUGGACAAAUAUCCUUUUUUGAGCUUAUUAUUCACAAUUUAUAGUAAUAUGCUAUUAUGGGCUUUGCUCCAGCAUGAUAAGGAGGAAAGAACUGCAGGCUGUAUUGUUCGUUGACAUUCAUGAUCAGUUACACACCAAGCCUAUAUUUUUGCUGCUUCUACAUGUUGCUAUGAUGGUCAUUCAGCCCAUUUUCUUAUUGCAUGACCUUGAAAAAGAGCUUAUUUAGUUAAUGAUUUUCACUUACUAAAAUUCAGAGAGCUCUUGCUGGGUAUGGAGCUGUUGAUUACUCAAAACCUGUUGAUGUAUUAGUUUGUUUCAGAGAUCUCUUGGUUUGGCAUACUGGCGCUUUCGCUGAACUCGACAAAGUAGCUUCACAAGUCACAACACAAUGUGUAGUUCAGUGUAGAGUUUUGUAUGAAAUCGUGAAAGCAUUUCAUAUUCCUUAUUUUUUUUCUUUUCAUAUGAUGUUAUGAAAUUGGUUACUAAUUUGCAAGACAUAUGCAUUUUUCAUUAAAAAACUUGGGAAGUGUUGUGGCUGGUUAUAUGCAGCUCCAUCUCUCUCCCUCUCUCUCUCUCUCUACGCACUCAUGUUCAGUUGUUAUUUUGGUGUGCAAGAGAGUAGUUAGUUAGAAGCUUACGUUCUUUAUGUUUCUGGAUUUGGUGCAGGUUCGAGGAUGUAAACCUACCUGAUAUAUUCUUCAUGGGGAUUGAGUAUUUUAGUGAUAUAUCUGAGAAUUUUAAUGAUCUAUCUGCUAGCAGGCGGAGUUCAGACUCUGUUUUUGCUACAAAAGAAUCAGGCCACCCCUGAUGCCCAGGCUGAUGCUUCUUCGCUUGAUGCUGAAGAAAGGGAUGACCAGAUUCAGAUGCCCAAGAAAAAGCAGGCGCCGCAUCUUCUCUUAUACCUUUAUCUAUGUACUUUAACUUCGCUUGAUGCGGGCGCGUGUCUGGUGUCCCUGCUAAAAACCGACAGUUACCUAAGAAUUUGCAGCAGUUAAACCUUGAAUUUGCAGCGGUUAAAACCUGAAGCUACUUCUACUUUUCCUAUGAAGGAUCACAACUACACUGAAUACAGCAAACCUGUUCCCAUAUCGUGUGGAAAACUACUUCAUUCUUCUCUAUGUGUUUUCUGAUGCAUUUUUGGUAGUGGGAGUGGGAUAUGGAGAGGGAGAGAGAGAGCAUAUCCAAAUGGAAUGGAUGGGAACAUGAUAUUUGCAGAUCUGAGAAAGAAGAGAUAGGACCAAGAAAAAUAGGUUUCUCCAUCCUGUUAAGUUUCCUUGCUUGUUUAGCAUUUGGUGAAAAAUUAUGGGCCAGUGCAUUGGCGCGGCCAGCCUACCUGUGUACAGAAUCUAUGCUUAAAUUUUGUAAAAAAUAGUGCUUUCUUGCUUACGGUUCUUGCGAUGGUUUGUGCUGAAAAAUCUAUGAGCUAAUGCAUUUGUGCAAUCAGCCUGCCUGUGUGCGGAAUCUUUGUUUAGAUUUUGUCAAAAAGUUGCUUUUCUGACUAUUUUUCUCAUGGUGGUUUAAUCCCAUAGAUAAAUUGUGUGUGUGUCUAUGAUUGUUGUGUCCGGUCUCUAUCUAUGCAAUCAUCCGAUGCAUGUCUAUGUAGUUAUUUGGAGUAUACUUACUUACAUAUGGGUUAGAUCAGCAGAAUCAAAACCGAAUAUUGUGAUGCUAGAAUUGGUUCAAUGUUGUCCCCUCAUGUGGUAGUGACAUGUUUUGUAACAUUCUAUUCAAAACUAGGCGGGGACGUCUCUUGGUAUGGAAACUUUAUUUUGUACCACUUGCAUUCUGAACUGUAUAACUCCUUUUCUUUUGUAUAUAUUACCAGUAUAUUUUCAGCUUGCACAUAACUGUUGAUUGUCAAAGUAAGAAAUAAAUUAGCAAUAACUGCCAUGAGUUUGAAUUGCCCAUUACAUGUCCAGAGUUUGGAAUUUUACCUAACCUUGAAUAGUUUCCUUAUAUCUCAUUUUCUUUCAUGUGUGUGUAUAUAUAUAAAAUGCUUAGUUCUUAUUAUUUCACAUGUUUAAGAGAUAAAGGCACAUCCAGGGAAAGGUUUCGAUGUAAUUAUACGUACAUUUAUUUAUGAUGGUUCUUCCAACAUGAUCAGGUCAGAAGAAUUUUUCCUUGUUUUGUUAUGUUUCACACUAUUGUCCAAAUGGAUGUGCCUUAUUUUCCCAAUUAUCUUAUACCCUUAUGCCCAACGCUUCUCACCAAGAUCCGUAAGUGUGACCGAUGAACCAUGUUACAAAGGAAGUAGUCUGACAUCCGUUGAGUAAUUUAACCAUGCAAUUUAUGUUAUGAACAAGUUUUAAAAAUAGUCUUGGUGAAAAGUGUUGUUCUAUAAAUAGCUUUCUUCCAAUUUUUAGUUUUGCUGAUUUUUAAUGUGUCAGUUUUGAUCGAAAUUUUAGUUUGGUUGACGCCACCUUCUGCAUUCCUUUUGUAUACUUAACUGAAAGCAGAACUUGUUAAGUGAGGAUUGGUUACUUGGUCUUAUUUGGGCUCUCAGUAGUGAGUACCUAAACUGAUGCAAUAACAACUUAUUGCAUUCUUCCUAUAAUCCGAUCUGAGCUUAGUGUUUUGCCAGUUUGCAUGUAAAUGCGAUAAAAGAUCUCACUUUAUGAUAUUUGGUAUAUACAAUAUGCUUCAAGUGCAAUAAUGUACAAGUGGAUUUGAGGAUCAAAUGGAGUGAAAGGAAGGCAUGAUUAAAUUUGCAUGCACUUUCUAUUGUUACAGAUCCAACCUAUGUUUGAUAUUGAUCUUGCCUCGCCUCAUGCUAAUCUCUCUUGUAUAACAAGACAUACUUAUUCGAUGAUUUGGCUCCUCUUUACUAAUUUAUUAUUGUUUUUUGCUCAUCUAUAUAUAGGUUAUGAUAUGUCAUUGCUCAGCUUAUGAAAGGAGCUGAUGACUGGGGUACCAUAGCAACAAACUGGACAGAGUUCUUCCAUUUAAAAAACAGAGGAAAGAUACAUGCUUUCCGUCUUCAGACGCAAGGCAAAGAGCGUUCGUCUAAUCAUUCACUCCUGAAGACACCAUCGUAAACCUUUAGUGUCGCCUAUAUAGCUUGCAUUCCAGAAUUCAUGUUUACAGUGCUUUUGUGCCAUGUGUGGUAUGCUCCACAUUGGUUCGUCUUUCCUUGUGUUACCUCUUAGUAUAGGUAUUAUGGAUCGUCAGUCUGACUAUAAGUAUCAAUGAAGAUAAGCUUAUCUUUCAUUCUCUUUCAAUCGAAUUAAGGUGCUUACAAAUGCCCUACAAUACCUACAUAAUACAUGAUCCUAAUUGGCUUCUUGCGCCAUGGGUGUUACAAGAGUAAAGGUUUAUCUAAUGAGGCCUUGUCGCGGCGCUGCAAGUGUUGCCCCCCUCCUCCCCAAGGGUAAGGUGAAGGAAGGUGCCUGUGUGGUUCUUCUGCAGCUCGCAGCGAGGAUUGCUGUGUCCAACCUGCACAAGAAUGUCAAGAAGUCCUUCUCGGAGACGAUUAAGGACAUGUACCUGCACUACAACGAGAGAUCUGGACUGCUUUUUUGUGGCUUCCAAACUUGAAAUGUUUGUUUGGAAGUUAGUUUAGUUUUUUGUUGUGGAUUCACAGCUUCUCACAUGUACCGUCCUCUUAGACCUUUAGAUUUCCAAAGAAACUAAAUGAAGAUAUGGUGGUAUGUUCUUAAUAGUACAACUUAAAGCCUUCCAUGCUUUAUAUUUUCUUUCAAA